UGGGGAAUCUUGGACAAUGGGGGCAACCCUGAUCCAGCGACGCCGCGUGGGUGGUACGGCCUUCGGGUUGUAAAGCCCUUUCACCGGGGACGAUGAUGACCUUACCCGGAGAAGUAGCGCCGGCUAACACCGUGCCAGCAGCCGCGGUAAGACGGAGGGCGCGAGCGUUGUUCGGAAUCACUGGGCGUAAAGGGCGCGUAGGCGGCUGUUUAAGUCGAGGGUGAAAGCCCGGGGCUCAACCCCGGAACGGCCUUCGAGACUGGGCAGCUCGAGACCGGAAGAGGAGGGUGGAAUACCCAGUGUAGAGGUGAAAUUCGUAGAUAUUGGGUGGAACACCAGUGGCGAAAGCGGCUCGCUGGUCCGGAUCUGACGCUGAGGCGCGAAAGCGUGGGGAGCAAACAGGAUUAGAUACCCGGGUAGUCC
rnacentral:rRNA from 1 species